rnacentral:rRNA from 1 species
AUACGUAGGGGGCGAGCGUUGUUCGGAAUGACUGGGCGUAAAGGGCGUGUAGGCGGUUGGUUAAGUCUGGAGUGAAAGUCCCGGUUUCAAGUUGGGAACUGCUUUGGAUACUGUUCGACUUGAGUGCGGGAGAGGGAAGUGGAAUUCCCAGUGUAGCGGUGAAAUGCGUAGAGAUUGGGAGGAACACCAGUGGCGAAGGCGACUUACUGGGCCGUAACUGACGCUGAGGCGCGAAAGCGUGGGGAGCGAACAGGAUUAGAUACCCUGGUAGUCCACGCGGUAAACGAUGAAUGCUAGGUGUUGCGGGUAUCGACCCCUGCAGUGCCGGAGUAAACACAAUAAGCAUUCCGCCUGGGGAGUACGGCCGCAAGGUUAAAACUCAAAGGAAUUGACGGGG